rnacentral:misc_RNA from 1 species
AAGUCGUAACAAGGUAACCGUAGGUGAACCUGCGGUUGGAUCAUUAAUGAAAAAUUAAUUUUUAAAAAAAUUAAUUUACUUUUUUUUUUCUAAAAAAAAAGUGGGGGGAAGGGAGGACAACCUUCAUUCAUUUAUAUUCUUUAAAUGAGUUUGAGGGGAAAAUCCCAACCCCCUUAACACCCCAAAAAAAUGAUGUGAAAUUUUUAUUUGUUUUUAUUUUUUUUAAAAAAAUACUUUUUUCUAUAUUUUUGAUUUUAUUUGGUUUAUUAACUUUCAUUUUGAAAGGGAAGAAUGAAAUUUUUAAAUAUAGAAGAAAAAAAAAAGUAUUUUUUAAAGAAAAAUAAAUAUAUAAACCUUUUUUAUUAUAAUUUCUUUUUUUUAACUUUUCUAAGGAAAAAAAAAUUAUAAACAACUUUUGACAAUGGAUCUCUUGGCUCUC